GAUGGGCAUGUGACUCAGGCCUGGCCAGGGUAUGGCAAGCUUAUCUAUGUGUUUACUUAGAAGUUGCAGAGACCAAAACUUGAAGCAAAUCAGGCCCCUCUGGAACUCUCACCCACUAAGAGAUUGCCUCAAUUUACAACGUAGCUGCCUGCCAUGGCGCCAGCCAGACCACAUGAUAGAUAAGACAUCUGAAGCAAGUCACACAGACCCCGCACCUCCUCCCCUCCUCCCCAUCCCCCCUUUAAAAGCCCUUGC
rnacentral:lncRNA from 10 species